CCCAACCCAACACUUUCCCUUCUACUUCGUUUCCCUUGGCUCCACCAUUAAUCUCUUUAACUAACUAAUUAGUUUCAAGCCUUCUCAAACACAACACUGGAGCUCAAGGUAAUGGAUUUGAUAAUGUGAAUGUGGUGGUGGGUAUUGUGUUUAGUUGGAUAUUAAUUUAUUUUGUUGGAUUUGUUAAAUCUGUUUGUAAAUGCUUGAUUUACAAGGUAAUUUGAGAUCUUAGAUGUGAGUUACAUAUCUAUUUGUUGAUUUUUAUUUGAUUUUAUUUAUGAUGGCUCUAACUUCUCAACUGUUGCUUCAAGUUCAGUACAUUUAUUCAAUAAAUUAAACAUUGAUUUCUAGGACACAAUGGAUUAUCUAGGUACUUUCUCUCCAUUCUCGGAGAAAUUACAUGUAUUCAUUGGGUAUGAAUUACAUGUAUUCUCGGAGAAAUUACAUGUACUUUCUCUCCAUUAUUUAUUGCCUAAUUUUAUUUCAUUGUUUUUUUUAGUUAUUAUCAUUAUUAAAAGCAAUAUUUUAAUGAACCAUUAUAUGCAAUUAAAACAAAAACAUUGCUUUAUACAAUUUUUUCUUUUGGUUUGUUUUUAUUUACUUUUACUUACCAUUUUUUAGCAAUGGGAGCAAUAUUUUCAGCCAAGGAUUUGUUUGCAUCUUGCAGGUAUAAGUACUUUCAAGGCUUUCUUUCUAUUUUAUAUAUAAAAAAUAGAUAAAAACAAACAUAAUAUACUUUGCAGAGUUUUAUAAUUGAUGAGUUUUGCAAAUGUGUCCAUUGCUAUAUGCCUAUUUGUUUCUUAUGCAUUUGUAUUUACAAGAUCUAAAUUAAAUUCAUUGGCCUUUUAAAUUACUCUCUCUCUCUCUCUCUCUCUCUCUCUCUCUCUCUCUCUCUCUCUCUCUCUCUCUCUCUCUCUCCAAAUUGCAUGUUUAGGGUCCAUUCCUCAACAUUGCUCCCAAUAAAGCAAAUUGGCAUCUUUGAAGGGAUGUGUAAGAGAAGCUUCAUAAAGCUUUGAAGGCGCACUCAUAAGGCAAUUUAUAAACUUAUGGCAAGGAUUCUCAUAUUGAUUAUAAUGCUGGGACAAAACUUUCUUAGCAUUGAUUUGUAAUUGGAGGUGAGAGUAGAGAUAGAGCAGUUGAGUGAGAUUCCUACAGCUGCACCUUGAAGACUGCUUGUGACUAGCCUCGGGUAUAUUAUAGGUAUACCCUUGUAUAUUAGAUUUUGAAUAUGCAUGUAAAUAUAUGUGUGUAAAUUAUUUGAGCAGAUGUAUAAAACUUUUGAAAUGUUAUUUUGGGUGUGUAAUGGAAAUGCAAAUUUAAUUGUAACAAUAAUUUUAGUACCUUAAUGAAUGUAUUAUUUACUUUCUUCUGGAAAUUGAAAAAUUAUGGACGAUUUCUUUUAUGAUGAGUUUGGCUUGAUAAGUGAAUUGAAUUGAUUGUGAUGA